rnacentral:lncRNA from 1 species
GAAACUUUACACAAUGCUGCACAGGGUGGGAGUUACCAUUUUUCUCACUCUAUACAGCAGAAAAAUCUAAAUGUGACAACAAACUGACAAUAUCACCCUGCAAAAAUAAUUCUCUGCUGUACUACUACUGUAAGAGACAUUGCCAAACAAACUGAGGAUACGAUUCCAUGUUUGCCGAUUCUGUCCUGGGCUGCCAAUCAUGAAUAACAAAGGGUUGAAACUAGAGACAGGAGUAGCAGUGGUCAUGUCAGUCUGUUGAUAUUAAAUAAAGCAUUACAGGUCAUGUCAAGAGCAUUGUGAUGAAGGAUUGCCAUAGGCUGAAUUGAGAGACUGGGCUAAAAAGUUUAGUCCCAAUGUAGAAGAUUUAUUUUCUUAAAAAUUCUAACUUAACAAAAAAUACUUGAGUCCUUUUAGCUCUUUGUAGAGCAAAGGCACAAAAAUAACAAAAGCAAUAUUUUCUCAAUCCUGACAAACAAUAUAGUACUGCUGACUAACAAAUGCAAUAUGUUCUCCAUCCUGACAAACAGUAUACUACUGCUGACUAACAAAAGCAAUAUGUUCUCCAUCCUGACAAACAGUAUACUACUGCUGACUAACAAAAGCAAUAUGUUCUCAAACCUGACAAUGUACUAAUGCUGACUAAAAAAAACACAAACACAUGUAGCUUACUGGGUUUAAACCAGUGAAGCAUGUUGAAAGAAUAACAAUUUUAACUUUACCUUUCCGUUUGACUUCAAAAUCAUCAUCAAAUCAAAGUUUAUUGGUCACGUACACAGAUUUGCAGGUGUUAUGGCAGGUGCAUGUAAAAUAUUGUGUUACUAGCUCCAACAGUGCAGUAGAAUGUCUCGCAAAUACAAUUCAAAUACACAAUCAUGAAAACAAUCCAAACAACAAAUCAAGAAAUAGCCAUCCUAGUAGAUCAUCAUCAUUCUAGUAGUAAGUUUAUUAGAACAGGGGAGUGUGGUAGUAAGUUUAUUAGAACAGGGGGUGUGGUAGUAAGUUUAUUAGAACAGGGGGUGUGGUAGUAAGUUUAUUAGAACAGGGGAGUGUGGUAGUAAGUUUAUUAAAACAGGGGGUGUGGUAGUAAGUUUAUUAGAACAGGGGGUGUGGUAGUAAGUUUAUUAGAACAGGGGGUGUGGUAGUAAGUUUAUUAGAACAGGGGGUGUGGUAGUAAGUUUAUUAGAACAGGGGGUGUGGUAGUAAGUUUAUUAGAACAGGGGUGUGGUAGUAAGUUUAUUAGAACAGGGGAGUGUGGUAGUAAGUUUAUUAGAACAGGGGGUGUGGUAGUAAGUUUAUUAGAACAGGGGGAGUGGUAGUAAGUUUAUUAGAACAGGGGGAGUGGUAGUAAGUUUAUUAGAACAGGGGGUGUGGUAGUAAGUUUAUUAGAACAUGGGGAGUGUGGUAGUAAGUUUAUUAGAACAGGGGGAGUGGUAGUAAGUUUAUUAGAACAGGGGAGUGUGGUAGUAAGUUUAUUAGAACAGGGGGUGUGGUAGUAAGUUUAUUAGAACAGGGGGUGUGGUAGUAAGUUUAUUAGAACAGGGGGUGUGGUAGUAAGUUUAUUAGAACAGGGGGUGUGGUAGUAAGUUUAUUAGAACAGGGGGAGUGGUAGUAAGUUUAUUAGAACAGGGGAGUGUGGUAGUAAGUUUAUUAGAACAGGGGGUGUGGUAGUAAGUUUAUUAGAACAGGGGGGUGUGGUAGUAAGUUUAUUAGAACAGGGGGUGUGGUAGUAAGUUUAUUAGAACAGGGGGAGUGGUAGUAAGUUUAUUAGAACAGGGGAGUGUGGUAUAAGUUUAUUAGAACAGGGGAGUGUGGUAGUAAGUUUAUUAGAACAGAGGGUGUGGUAGUAAGUUUAUCAGUAGAGGGGGUGGGGUAGUAAGUUUAGCAGAAC